GAUUCUUACAAGUGUGCCUUGCAAGAUACAUAUGCUUUCACCACAAAUUACUGACGCUGAUGUGAAGAACAGCCAUAUUGAAACACAAAGUUGGGCUUAUAAAUUCUGACUGGGGAUAAUCUGAGUUUCCCCCACAAUGGAAAGUCAAAUUCCAGUUGAUUUUUUUAGACUAUGAGGUCAGAACUUUUGCGUCCCAACUUCAAACCCAGCUCACUUGUGCCUAAUUAUCUCCACCUGUGCUCUUCAGAAUAUAAACCUCUCCCAGCCACAGCACUAGCAACAAAUUAUCAAAGCUAACAUGCAGAUGCACUAAGCCUUUUCAAGCCAAGUUAAAACCUGUUGAAGCGUUGUGCCCAUGUCGCCAAACAUGGACCAUUACUUCAACCACAUCUCCCCUGGGAUUUCUCCAUCACAUAUGCAGUAAUCUCAACAGGUUUCCAGUAAAAAGUGGCCCCAAGCUGUGUGCAGCUGCUGCUCAUGGCUUGAUGACAAACUUCUGAUGCCUCAUUCAGCAAGUCCUGUUGCCUGCUGUGAGGAUGUCAGUCUUGCAAAAUCACUUCCUGCAAAUAGAGUUCACUGAUAAAGGGCCAGGAUGUCAUCUGCUGGUUAUCUGUGUUACAAACCAUGUUGGUCUUACUGCAGUGGCCAAAUUGUAGAAGACUGGUUCUGCCUUACCAGUGUAGUGCAAGUGCAAACACAUAAUUCCCCUGUGUACAUUGCAAGGAGCACCAACCUGUCACAGCUUUAAACUACAUGGUACUGUGUACAUGCACACUGUCUGCUUUUGGCUUAGACCUGUUUGAGUUCUUUAGAGGAACUCGGUGGAUUUAAUCUUUCCUGAACUAACAUGUGCAAUAAAUAUAUUAAAUUGUUUCAA